rnacentral:rRNA from 1 species
CAAUAGCGUAUAUUUAAGUUGUUGCAGUUAAAAAGCUCGUAGUUGGAUUUCGGAUGGGAUUUGCCGGUCCGUCGUUACAAUGUGCACUGGCCAGUCCUAUCUUGUUGUCGGGGACUAGCUCCUUGGAUUCACUUCCUGGGACUAGGAGCUGACGAGGUUACUUUGAGUAAAUUAGAGUGUUCAAAGCAAGCCUACGCUCUGAAUACAUUAGCAUGGAAUAACACGAUAGGACUCUGGCUUAUCUUGUUGGUCUGUGAGACCAGAGUAAUGAUUAAGAGGGACAGUCGGGGACAUUCGUAUUUCAUUGUCAGAGGUGAAAUUCUUGGAUUUAUGAAAGACGAACUUCUGCGAAAGCAUUUGUCAAGGAUGUUUUCAUUAA